rnacentral:lncRNA from 1 species
UGGAGCGAGCUUCGACGGUGUCCUGACUCAUCUGUUUUACUUUUACUUUUGCAUUUACUUCUAUUUUUUCUUUACUUUUUAAUUAAACUUUACCUUUAUUUUCUUUUAUUGCCUUCUUUUUUUUUGGAAGCCUUAGCUGCUUUCACCAUAUAUGUCUAGUUUAUUUUACCUAAUAAAUGAAGCAAAUAGCUUGUUAUAUUUUUCUAAAAAUAAUAAUAAUAAUAAGUGACCUCCACCCUGAAAGGCUUCUCUUCGUGGAGGUGUCAACAAAGCCCUCACUAAAAAUU